ACAUUAGAGUUUGAUCCUGGCUCAGAUUGAACGCUGGCGGCAUGCCUUACACAUGCAAGUCGAACGGCAGCACGGGAGCAAUCCUGGUGGCGAGUGGCGAACGGGUGAGUAAUGCAUCGGAACGUGCCCAGUGGUGGGGGAUAGCCCGGCGAAAGCCGGAUUAAUACCGCAUACGACCCAUGGGUGAAAGCGGGGGACUCGCAAGGGCCUCGCGCCAUUGGAGCGGCCGAUGUCAGAUUAGGUAGUUGGUGGGGUAAAGGCCCACCAAGCCGACGAUCUGUAGCUGGUCUGAGAGGACGACCAGCCACACUGGGACUGAGACACGGCCCAGACUCCUACGGGAGGCAGCAGUGGGGAAUUUUGGACAAUGGGCGCAAGCCUGAUCCAGCCAUGCCGCGUGCGGGAAGAAGGCCUUCGGGUUGUAAACCGCUUUUGUCGGGGAAGAAAUGCUCCGGGCUAAUAUCCUGGGGAGAUGACGGUACCCGAAGAAUAAGCACCGGCUAACUACGUGCCAGCAGCCGCGGUAAUACGUAGGGUGCAAGCGUUAAUCGGAAUUACUGGGCGUAAAGCGUGCGCAGGCGGUUGUGCAAGACAGAUGUGAAAUCCCCGGGCUCAACCUGGGAACUGCAUUUGUGACUGCACGGCUGGAGUGCGGCAGAGGGGGAUGGAAUUCCGCGUGUAGCAGUGAAAUGCGUAGAUAUGCGGAGGAACACCGAUGGCGAAGGCAAUCCCCUGGACCUGUACUGACGCUCAUGCACGAAGCGUGGGGGAGCAAACAGGAUUAGAUACCCUGGUAGUCCACGCCCUAAACGAUGUCAACUGGGUUGUUGGGGUCUUCACUGACUC
rnacentral:rRNA from 1 species